GACGAACGCUGGCGGCGUGCUUAACACAUGCAAGUCGAACGGAAAGGCCCUGCUUUUGUGGGGUGCUCGAGUGGCGAACGGGUGAGUAACACGUGAGUAACCUGCCCUUGACUUUGGGAUAACUUCAGGAAACUGGGGCUAAUACCGGAUAGGAGCUCCUGCUGCAUGGUGGGGGUUGGAACGUUUCGGCGGUUGGGGAUGGACUCGCGGCUUAUCAGCUUGUUGGUUGGGUAGUGGCUUACCAAGGCUUUGACGGGUAGCCGGCCUGAGAGGGUGACCGGCCACAUGAGGACUGAGAUACGGCCCAGACUCCUACGGUAGGCAGCAGUGGGAAAUAUUGCACAAUGGGCGGAAGCCUGAUGCAGCAACGCCGCGGGCGGGAUGACGGCCUGCUGGUUGUGAACCGCUUUCGCCUGUGACGAAGCGGGAGUGACGGUAAUGGGUAAAGAAGCACCGGCUAACUACGUG
rnacentral:rRNA from 1 species